CCUACGGGAGGCAGCAGUGAGGAAUAUUGGUCAAUGGGCGCGAGCCUGAACCAGCCAGUCGCGUUAAAGAUUACGGCCCUACGGGUUGUAAACUUCUUUUGUCAGAGGGCAAUUGAGUCCACGUGUGGUCUUAGCGAAAGUACCUGAUGAAAAAGCAUCGGCUAACUCCGUGCCAGCAGCCGCGGUAAUACGGAGGAUGCGAGCGUUAUCCGGAUUUAUUGGGUUUAAAGGGUGCGUAGGCGGAAUAUCAAGUCAGCGGUAAAAAUUGGGGGCUCAACCUCGUAGUGCCGUUGAAACUGGUGUUCUUGAGUGGGCGAGAAGUAUGCGGAAUGCGUGGUGUAGCGGUGAAAUGCAUAGAUAUCACGCAGAACUCCGAUUGCGAAGGCAGCAUACUGGCGCCCCACUGACGCUGAAGCACGAAAGCGUGGGUAUCGAACAGGAUUAGAUACCCCAGUAGUC
rnacentral:rRNA from 1 species